rnacentral:lncRNA from 1 species
UGCCACCAUUGGGUUUCCAUGGUGAUAAAAGAAACAAACCAUCCUGGGGCACAAGUCAGGCUCAGUCAAAGGACUAACUAGAGGGUGAAUUCCUCCUCAAGGGACUUUCAGGAGCCCCUGGACUAGCAAGACUGCCUGGUACCAUGGACCCCAAUCCUUUCAUCUACUGUACCUGCUGUGACUACUGCAAACUGGGACCAACAAAGCUAAUCAAGACCCCUUAUCCACUUCCAAAGACUCCCACAGGGAAGUUUAAGUAAAGAUAGGCUGGGUUGGACUAGGCCAGUUUUACCUCUACCAGUUUCAAAAGAAUGCAACUUGCUCCUGUCCCAACCAGGAAAAUCUAUUUCCCUAAAGACAAGGCCCAGUCAGGAAAGAAUGAGAGCAGCAAAGCAUCUUCUGUGUGAUGGUGUAUCCAGGACUGUAGCCUCCCUCAGCCCUGAAGCAGGAUGAUCCAGACUUUGACCUUGCUGCAACUGAGAAGGAGAUUAGCUAGAUUCCAACCUAGAUGGCUCUUUUGUUCUGUCACAUGCCACUGCUCUCUCCAAGACACUACUACCUGCUGAGAAGCCCCAGAGACAUUCCGGAGGAACAACCUAUUCUGCAUGUCACCUACAGGCUGGCUCCAGACACCAAGAAUGAACUGGCG